rnacentral:rRNA from 1 species
AGAGUUUGAUCCUGGCUCAGGACGAACGCUGGCGGCGUGCCUAAUACAUGCAAGUCGAGCGAUGAUUAGAGAUAGCUUGCUAUCUUUAUGAAGAGCGGCGAACGGGUGAGUAACGCGUGGGAAAUCUGCCGAGUAGCGGGGGACAACGUUUGGAAACGAACGCUAAUACCGCAUAACAAUGAGGAUCGCAUGAUUCUUAUUUAAAAGAAGCAAUUGCUUCACUACUUGAUGAUCCCGCGUUGUAUUAGCUAGUUGGUAGUGUAAAGGACUACCAAGGCGAUGAUACAUAGCCGACCUGAGAGGGUGAUCGGCCACACUGGGACUGAGACACGGCCCAGACUCCUACGGGAGGCAGCAGUAGGGAAUCUUCGGCAAUGGGGGCAACCCUGACCGAGCAACGCCGCGUGAGUGAAGAAGGUUUUCGGAUCGUAAAACUCUGUUGUUAGAGAAGAACGUUAAGUAGAGUGGAAAGUUACUUAAGUGACGGUAUCUAACCAGAAAGGGACGGCUAACUACGUGCCAGCAGCCGCGGUAAUACGUAGGUCCCAAGCGUUGUCCGGAUUUAUUGGGCGUAAAGCGAGCGCAGGUGGUUUCUUAAGUCUGAUGUAAAAGGCAGUGGCUCAACCAUUGUGUGCAUUGGAAACUGGGAGACUUGAGUGCAGGAGAGGAGAGUGGAAAUUCCAUGUGUAGCGGUGAAAUGCGUAGAUAUAUGGAGGAACACCGGAGGCGAAAGCGGCUCUCUGGGCCUGUAACUGACACUGAGCUCGAAAGCGUGGGGAGCAAACAGGAUUAGAUACCCUGUAGUCCACGCCGUAAACGAUGAGUGCUAGCUGUAGGGGAGCUAUAAGUUCUCUGUAGCGCAGCUACGCAUAGCACUCGGCUUGGGGAGUUACGAACCGCAGGUGCGAACU